rnacentral:rRNA from 1 species
UACGGGGGGGGCAAGCGUUGUUCGGAAUUACUGGGCGUAAAGGGCUCGUAGGCGGCCAACUAAGUCGGAUGUGAAAUCCCCAGGCUCAACUUGGGAACUGCAUCCGAUACUGGAUGGCUUGAAUUCGGGAGAGGGAUGCAGAAUUCCAGGUGUAGCGGUGGAAUGCGUAGAGAUCUCCAAGAACACCAGUUGCGAAGGCGGCUGACUGGACCCAUAUUGACGCUGAGGCUCGAAAGCAUGGGGAGCGAACAGG